AACGAACGCUGGCGGCACGCCUAACACAUGCAAGUCGAACGAGACCUUCGGGUCUAGUGGCGCACGGGUGCGUAACGCGUGGGAACCUGCCUUUAGGUUCGGAAUAAACUCAGAGAAAUUUGAGCUAAUACCGGAUAAUGUCUUCGGACCAAAGAUUUAUCGCCCAAGGAUGAGCCCGCGUAGGAUUAGCUUGUUGGUGAGGUAAAAGCUCACCAAGGCGACGAUCCUUAGCUGGUCUGAGAGGAUGAUCAGCCACACUGGGACUGGGACACGGCCCAGACUCCUACGGGAGGCAGCAGUGGGGAAUAUUGGACAAUGGGCGAAAGCCUGAUCCAGCAAUGCCGCGUGAGUGAUGAAGGCCUUAGGGUUGUAAAGCUCUUUUACCCGGGAUGAUAAUGACAGUACCGGGAGAAUAAGCCCCGGCUAACUCCGUGCCAGCAGCCGCGGUAAU
rnacentral:rRNA from 1 species